rnacentral:rRNA from 1 species
GAUGAACGCUAGCGGGAGGCCUAACACAUGCAAGCCGAGCGGUAUUGUUUCUUCGGAAAUGAGGGAGCGGCGUACGGGUGCGUAACACGUGUGCAACCUGCCUUUAUCUGGGGGAUAGCCUUUCGAAAGGAAGAUUAAUACUCCAUAAUAUAUUGAACGGCAUCGUUUAAUAUUGAAAGCUCCGGCGGAUAGAGAUGGGCACGCGCAAGAUUAGCUAGUUGGUGAGGUAACGGCUCACCAAGGCGAUGAUCUUUAGGGGGCCUGAGAGGGUGAUCCCCCACACUGGUACUGAGACACGGACCAGACUCCUACGGGAGGCAGCAGUGAGGAAUAUUGAUCAAUGGGUGCAAGCCUGAACCAGCCAUCCCGCGUGAAGGACGACUGCCCUAUGGGUUGUAAACUUCUUUUGUAUAGGGAUAAACCUACCCUCGAGAGGGUAGCUGAAGGUACUAUACGAAUAAGCACCGGCUAACUCCGUG